rnacentral:rRNA from 1 species
AACGAACGCUGGCGGCAUGCCUAACACAUGCAAGUCGAACGAGACCUUCGGGUCUAGUGGCGCACGGGUGCGUAACGCGUGGGAAUCUGCCCUCAGGUACGGAAUAACUCAGGGAAACUUGAGCUAAUACCGUAUAAUGACUUCGGUCCAAAGAUUUAUCGCCUGAGGAUGAGCCCGCGUCGGAUUAGCUUGUUGGUGAGGUAAAAGCUCACCAAGGCGACGAUCCGUAGCUGGUCUGAGAGGAUGAUCAGCCACACUGGGACUGAGACACGGCCCAGACUCCUACGGGAGGCAGCAGUGGGGAAUAUUGGACAAUGGGCGAAAGCCUGAUCCAGCAAUGCCGCGUGAGUGAUGAAGGCCUUAGGGUUGUAAAGCUCUUUUACCCGGGAUGAUAAUGACAGUACCGGGAGAAUAAGCCCCGGCUAACUCCGUGCCAGCAGCCGCCGCCGUAA